UACGUAGGGGGCUAGCGUUGUCCGGAAUCAUUGGGCGUAAAGCGCGCGUAGGCGGCCCAGUAAGUCCGUUGUAAAAGUCAAAGGCUCAACCUUUGAAAGCCGAUGGAUACUGCUGGGCUAGAGUCCGGAAGAGGCGAGUGGAAUUCCUGGUGUAGCGGUGGAAUGCGCAGAUAUCAGGAGGAACACCGAUAGCGAAGGCAGCUCGCUGGGACGGUACUGACGCUGAGGCGCGAAAGCUAGGGUAGCAAACGGG
rnacentral:rRNA from 1 species